rnacentral:tRNA from 1 species
UUCAGUAUGGCAGACAAGUGCGAUGAAUUUAAGAUUCAUACAUAAAUACAUUUAUUUUACUGAAA